UACAGAGGUCUCAAGCGUUGUUCGGAUUCAUUGGGCGUAAAGGGGGCGUAGGCGGCGCGGUAAGUCGGGUGUGAAAUCUCGGAGCUUAACUCCGAAACUGCAUUCGGUACUGCCGUGCUUGAGGACUGGAGAGGAGACUGGAAUUUACGGUGUAGCGGUGAAAUGCGUAGAUAUCGUAAGGAAGACCAGUGGCGAAGGCGGGUCUCUGGACAGUUCCUGACGCUGAGGCACGAAGGUCAGGGGAGCAAACGGG
rnacentral:rRNA from 1 species